rnacentral:rRNA from 1 species
AUGUCGGUGUUAAGCCGGGCAUCGGUCACCUACCGGACGGCCUCCCCCACCCACCGACGCCUUCCUUUAAAACGCCGCUCGUCGCCCCGUCUGCCUCCCUCCAGUCCACUCGACGCGCCUCGAUCCGCUCACCCCACCCACCGACGAGCUCCCUUUCCCGGCGGCCUCCAUGGUGUCCGAUGGCGGCGGCGGCGGCUGCAGAUCGUGGCCGACGAGCCUGGGCACGCCGGAGAGAGACGAGCUCAUCCGUCUCGGAUUGAUGGUGCCGCCGGGCUGCCGUCUUCCUCAUGCGUUCCACAUCACCGCCGACGGGUACCCGACGAGGGGGCCCGGGGCGAACCCGGAUGA